rnacentral:rRNA from 2 species
UGAGGAAUAUUGGUCAAUGGACGCAAGUCUGAACCAGCCAUGCCGCGUGCAGGAUGACGGCUCUAUGAGUUGUAAACUGCUUUUGUACGAGGGUAAACGCAGAUACGUGUAUCUGUCUGAAAGUAUCGUACGAAUAAGGAUCGGCUAACUCCGUGCCAGCAGCCGCGGUAAUACGGAGGAUUCAAGCGUUAUCCGGAUUUAUUGGGUUUAAAGGGUGCGUAGGCGGUUUGAUAAGUUAGAGGUGAAAUUUCGGGGCUCAACCCUGAACGUGCCUCUAAUACUGUUGAGCUAGAGAGUAGUUGCGGUAGGCGGAAUGUAUGGUGUAGCGGUGAAAUGCUUAGAGAUCAUACAGAACACCGAUUGCGAAGGCAGCUUACCAAACUAUAUCUGACGUUGAGGCACGAAAGCGUGGGGAGCAAACAGG